UCCUACGGGAGGCAGCAGUGGGGAAUUUUGGACAAUGGGCGCAAGCCUGAUCCAGCAAUGCCGCGUGAGUGAAGAAGGCCUUCGGGUUGUAAAGCUCUUUUGUCAGGGAAGAAACGGUAGAGGCUAAUAUCCUUUGCUAAUGACGGUACCUGAAGAAUAAGCACCGGCUAACUACGUGCCAGCAGCCGCGGUAAUACGUAGGGUGCAAGCGUUAAUCGGAAUUACUGGGCGUAAAGCGUGCGCAGGCGGUUUUGUAAGUCUGACGUGAAAUCCCCGGGCUCAACCUGGGAAUUGCGUUGGAGACUGCAAGGCUAGAAUCUGGCAGAGGGGGGUAGAAUUCCACGUGUAGCAGUGAAAUGCGUAGAGAUGUGGAGGAACACCGAUGGCGAAGGCAGCCCCCUGGGUCAAGAUUGACGCUCAUGCACGAAAGCGUGGGGAGCAAACAGGAUUAGAUACCCUGGUAGUCCACGCCCUAAACGAUGUAUAGGUAGUUGUCGGGUUUUAAUUAACUUGGUAACGCAGCUAACGCGUGAAGUAGGCCGCCUGGGGAAGUGGGAAAAUG
rnacentral:rRNA from 1 species